CCGACUCAAAGCAUCACAGAGCUCUAAUCUUUUUCUUCAGAAGUCUCCCCAUAUACAACAGAACAAAACCCCAAGUACUUAUUUUGGCAUUCAAGACCUUUUACAACUUGUCCUAAACUAUAUCCACUCUCCUCCACUCCAAAUUUCCACUACUUCAAGUCCUCUAUGCUCCAGUCACACUGAAUGGUAGCUCAAUAUUGCCCAAACAUGUGGGCAUAACCUUGCAUUGCAAUGUUCUUUCAUAACUAACUGCAUAUGCUAUUCUUCCCAGCUACGCUAUGAGCAUCACAAAGGAAGAGACAACAACUGAUUCAUCUUGUCCUUUCCAGAUCUAACCCUGGGACUGGUAUUAAGUGAGUAAUUAAAUAAAUGUUUGUUGAAUUGAAUUGAAUGUGCUUGGAAACCCUAGGGAAAAUCCUCCAGAAUCCUUCUGGGAUUGUAACUGUUCAGUGAAGAGUUACUUAGAAUUAGAAAUUAACCUUUUUUGAGGCUGUUCCUUAGAAGUAGAAAUUAACCUAUUUUGUUAAGAAAACAUUAGGAUGGAUACAUUGUCUCUUUCACUUGCUUUUGGAAAAUACCAGGAAAAAAAAAGAAUGCUGAAAUGUAGCAAAUAUUCUAAAGGUUUAUGGUAUUAUAAUUAGGGGGUGGGAGGAAAAAGGGGAGGUAAAGUAGGUGGUAUAAUAGAAAUUUUUGCAAUCUGGUCUUGAAGGAAAUGAGAAGAGCUAAAUCAGAUAUCCUGGACUUUCUAUGGACCUGCCUUCAAUGGAGGGAGGACAUCCCACCAGCAUCUUCACCACCACAUGCCCACUCAUCCUCAGGAUGCUUCCUGUCUGCCCCUACCUACCCAGGUAACUCCACAUUCCUAGGUAAUAUCUCUUAUUCCUGGCCUUUUUCUCCUUUCAUAACCUCUGUCAAAACAGAACAGUCCUAUGUCUCUGCCAGAAUCCAAGCUCUUUUCUCCUCUUCUUUCACAGUGUUCUUUUCUUAAAAAAUUGAAACUUUAUUGAGAUAUAAUUCACAUAUGGUUCAAUUCAACCAUUUAAACUGUACAUUUAAGAAUUUUUUACUAUACUAAAAGAGUUUUAUAAUUAUCACAAUCACUUUCCACCAUCUCAAAAACAAACCCGGUACCCAUUAGCAGUCAUGCCCAUUUCUCUCCAACCUCUAAGCUAAAGCAACCACUAAUCUACUUUCUGUCUCUGUAGAUUUACCUGUUAUGAACAUUGUAUAUGAAUAGAGUCAUACAAUAUGUGGUCCAUUUGUCUUUUGUCACUUAGUAUAAUAUAUUGAAGUUUCAUCUCAGUUGUAGCAUUUAUCAGUACUUCAUUCCUUUUUAUUGCCAGAUAUUAUUCCAAUGAAUGGAUAUACCACUUUGUCUAUUCAUUAUUUCACUUUUAUUUUUGUCCCA
rnacentral:lncRNA from 1 species